rnacentral:rRNA from 1 species
UACGUAGGGUGCAAGCGUUAAUCGGAAUUACUGGGCGUAAAGCGUGCGCAGGCGGUUUUGUAAGUCUGUCGUGAAAUCCCCGGGCUUAACCUGGGAACUGCAUUUGUGACUGGCGGGCUAGAGUAUGGCAGAGGGGGGUAGAAUUCCACGUGUAGCAGUGAAAUGCGUAGAGAUGUGGAGGAAUACCGAUGGCGAAGGCAGCCCCUGGCCAAUACUGACGCUCAUGACGACGAAAGCGUGGGAGCAAACAGG